UCCCAUAUGGUCUAGUGGUUAGGAUUUGGCGCUUUCACCGCAAGGCUCGGGUUCAAUUCCCGGUGUGGGAA
rnacentral:tRNA from 1 species